UGGGUGGGGCGGGGGUGAGAUCAGAGGUGUGUGUGGUGUGAGGCGAUUGGGCAACACCUGGGAUAUUCGUCAAAGACAGAACCAGGAGGGAGAGCUCACCUUACGUGAACUGCAGACGGAACAGCUGAAGGCCGGGAGGACAGAACACCCGCAGAACCGGCCCAGGAGGAAGAUUGACUCAGGCCCCACCUGAGGCCCAGCCACCAGGCUGCCCAGCUCUGGGCCAACUCGCUUCACCCUCCAGGGGAGUAGAGACCCUCAGGGACCUGGCAGUUCAGGGGGAGGAGGGAAGAGCAUCCAGAAGGCGGAAGGCAGGAGGGACUCAGCUCCAGAGAUAAGCCCCUUCGGUGGCCCUGGGUCCUCAGACUCAGCCACGGCGCCAAAUGAGCCACAGAUGUUUUUGCAGGUAAUUCUCACAACCGGUCACCUCAGGAGGUGGGUUCUGCAGCUGUUCCCCUUUCACAAGAGGCGGAAAUGGAGCCUCGGGGAGAUUAAGCGACUUGCCCCAGGUUGGUGGGUAGGGACAUUGAGAGGCCAAAUUGAGUAAAGAGGAACGAAAAAGAGAGCUACCACGUGAUCCUGCACUCCCAGUCGUGGGCAGCUCUCCCCAGAAAACCGUGAUUCGAAAAGAUACAUGCACUCCGGUGUUCAUUGUAGCACUUGUUACAACAGCCACGACACGGAAGCAAGCCAGAUAUCCAGCAAUUGAGGAAUAGAUAAAGAAGAGGUGGGACAUGUAUACAGUGGAAUAUUACCAGCUAUAAAAACAAUGAAGCAAGGCCAUUAUAGCAACAUGAAUGGACCUAUAGAAAUGAUCAUUCUCAAUGAAGUAAGGCAGACAUCUAGCAUAUGAUAUCACUUAUAUGUAGAACCUGAAAAAAAAAAAAAAAAAAAAAAAGGAUACAGGGAGUUCCUGUUGUGGCUCAAUGUUAACAAACCUGACUGGUCUCUAUAAGGAUGUGGGUUCGAUCCCUGGCCUUGCUCAGGGGGUGAAGGAUCCAGAGUCGCCGUGAGCUGUGCUGUAGGUCACAGAUGCAGCUUUGAUGCGGUGGGGCUGUGGCUGCGGCCCUGGUGUAGGCCAGCAGCUGCAGCUCCAAUUCGGCCACCAGGAACCCGAGCCUGGGAACAUCCAUAUGCUGUGGGUGUGGCCGUCAAAAGCCAAAAAAUAAAAAUUAAGAAAAAAUUUUAAGAUAAAAGUGAUCUUAUUUACCAAACCGAAAUAGACCCACAGACAUAGAAAACAAACUUACGGUUACUAAAGGGGAAAGUGAGCAGGAUAAAUUAGGAUAAAUUAGGAGGAGGAUGGGAUUAACAUCCACACCCGACACUAUGCAUAAAAUAGAUGGUCAACAAGGACCUCCUGUGUAGCACAGGGAACUCGAUUCAAUAUUUUGUAAUAUCCUAUAAGGGAAAAGAAUCUGAAAAAGAAUAUAAAUAUUUUAUAUAUAUAUGCUUAUGUAUUAUAUAUAACACAUGUUAUAUAUAAUAUAUAAAACCGAAUCACUUACAUAUAUCGGAUGUAUAGUUAUAUAUGUAACUGAGUAUAGAGAC
rnacentral:lncRNA from 1 species